CCCUUAGAUGUUCUGGGCUGCACACGCGCUACACUGAAGGGAUCAGCGUGUUCUUUUCCUGGUCCGAAAGGAUCGGGUAACCCGCUGAACCCCCUUCGUGGUAGGGAUCGGAGCUUGCAAUUAUUCUCCGUGAACCAGGAAUUCCCAGUAAGCGCAAGUCAUAAGCUUGCGUUGAUUACGUCCCUGCCCUUUGUACACACCGCCCGUCGCUACUACCGAUUGAAUGGUCCGGUGAAAUCUCGGGACGGCGGCUUGGUCGCUUGCGUCCGACUGCUGAAACUUGAUUAAACCAUAUCAUUUAGAGGAAGGUGAAGUCGUAACA
rnacentral:rRNA from 1 species